rnacentral:hammerhead_ribozyme from 1 species
ACGAGUCCCAAAUAGGACGAAACACGUGUC